CCUGUCCUAUUAGCACCUUACCGCUGUGUCAGUGGAAUGAAGCCAGUCCGUCAAGCAUGGAGUAAGAAGAUGGCCAAUGAUGAAGUAGAAAAGCCAAGCCUCUGCAGAUAACAAGUCCAUCAGCACCUUGACCAGGCACGAUGAAGAACCAAUUGGGGAACAGGAUCUCAGCAUCAGAACUACCAUUACAAGGGAACUGGCAAUGAGAGACAAAUGAUAUACAUGGAAUGAUGUCAGUUUAAACCAAAAGAUUGGAAAAUGAAGGUUUCCUGAAAUGUCUUGGGGUGUAAAUCAGGCAUUGGUGGAAGCAGUGAUCUUUCAGAGAAGAGUGGACAUUGUCUUAAGUGCCUCACAAGGGAGAGAGACCACCGCAUCCUCUCCCAGGGAUCUUAAUCACAGCUGAGACUCCGGCUAUUUCAAGCAUAGAAGCUUCUAAUUGACUUUCAGAGCUGUAAUGCAUGUCUGGGACUCAUGGAGAAUAUGAACAAACUCACUGCAAAGCCUUCUGGAUACUUUCUCCCAGGUGAGAUUGGUGUUUUCUGAAAUU
rnacentral:lncRNA from 1 species